rnacentral:tRNA from 104 species
GCCGAUGUAGCUCAGCUGGCUAGAGCAGCUGAUUUGUAAUCAGCAGGUCGUGGGUUCGAGUCCCUCCAUCGGCUCAA